UCCCUGGUGGACUAGUGGGUAGGCCACAGCACUCUCACUGUUAUGGCCUGGGUUCGAUUCCUGGGUAGGGUU